rnacentral:lncRNA from 1 species
GCUGGAGCUCCACCCAGCCCCGGACCUCUCCCAGGAGAUCUUCGGUAGUUCAGAUCCCCUCCCGGGCGAAAGCCCCGUCAGAGGAGCUGGCAGCGACAGCUGGCGGGCUGGCGUGCCGCUUGGGUUUCUCUCCGGGGGCCCCCAGGCGUUGUUGAUGCUGGGCGGGACCUCUCCACUUAUGCCGAGUAGGGGUUUUCCCCACGGCCUCCAGUGUGUAACUCUGGAGCUUCCCUCUGGGCUCAGGUGUAAUUGCUGGGGGCUUAGUUGUAGAUUCGAAGGGGGAGAGACAAAGAAGUCUGCUCAUGCCGCCAUCUUGGAUCUUCCAAAAAACACUUCUUUUUAUAAAGGAACCCUAAUUUGUGCAACAUAUUUUUUUUCACAACCAGAUCACCAGAUUGAAGGCUCCAGUUGCUUGCCAUGUCUCAUUUAAGAAAAAAUGAAUCUUCCUCAAGAUGCAAUGACACAUGUUUGGGCUGUGCGAAAAAAAAGGAUGAUAGUCUAUCUGCAAAUGACUUGCUAGCAAGCAAAUAUUUAUUAUUCUUUGAUUUGUCCUAACAAAGAUUCUUUUAUUAAUAGCAGACUGUGAAGAUGCAUGCCAGGCCAACUGCACAGGGGAUUAUAAAAUGGUUUAUUGUUCUCCUCAAGGAAAUAUCUAUGCAAAUAUAGCAGAACUAGAAAUGAAUAAAGAAUAUGGUAGGCUUAGUUUUUAUUAUUAGUUAAGUCUGCCUCUCAGAAUAGAAAAUUUUGGUGCAUUGUAUUGCAAAGUAGUAUAAUUUUUUCACUGAAACUUAGAGAGAUAUCUGCUAAAUAUGUUUAUAAGGUUUUUCACACUAUGUUUUGCUUCAUAUAGUAGUGUUUUGUAAACAGGAAAAGCAAAAAGAACAGGAAAUUAGGAUGAUAAGAGACAUCAAUGCACAGACACAAUUUUUGUAUACUUUUUAUAUAAUAUUUUAAAGGUCAGGAUGAAAGGCUCUGGGUAUUAGAAAUAGAGUCAACUGUAUGAAGUCAUACAAGCAAAAGGCAGAACACUUCCAAUCUAGAUGUAGCUUUGCCACAACUUACUAUAAUGACUUUGAAUAAGUUACUUACUUAACAUCCACUUCCGUUCUCUCUCUAUAGAAUAAGAUGGCUGAACAUGGGAUCCAGAGUCUCAGCUAGUUGGGUCUGAAUCAGAUCUAGUAUAGAUAAAUGUCUGUUUCAUCAUCGUGUUAUUUUUAUAAAUUGAAUUUGAUGCAUUUUGUCAGGGGAUAGUCUAAUUCUCCACAGUUCCAUCACUCUCUGAUGUCUUAUCUUUCUAUUACCUGCCUGGUCCCUGAAGACAACUGACAGUAUGAUUACCCUCAGGAGAUGUUCCCUGAGGACAGUUAUGAUCUCAAAAUCUUAUGAUUUUAAUUAUGUGAGUUUGGAAUGGGUCAACUAAUCCUGUUUGAGUUUUUUCAAUCUACUCGAAUAGCAAAAAGAAUAGGGGUCUGAAUUAUAUAUUUACUUUUAUCAUGUAGUCAAUUAUGAUUUUAGAAUGAAUUUCUAAUUUCCCCAGAUAUGUCUACAAAAUCUAGUAGGGUU